AAGAAGUUGACUACUAAAGUUUCUUUGGAUUAUCGAUCCCUGGGUUGUGUUGUGCUGUGCACUGGUUGCGUUCCGCAGGAGUCGGUGGGAGUUUAGUUUGUAGUGCCUGUGUGGGUUCACCGUGUGUGUGUUUUCCAGUACUGUACACCUGUGUGGGUUGCGGUGGUUGCGUCUCCUGGAUCCACGUUUGGUCUUGACCUCUCUUUCCUCAGGAUAGCCUGCCUCCCUGUG